GAUCAUGGCUCAGGAUGAACGCUGGUGGCGUGCCUAAUACAUGCAAGUCGAACGCUUUGUGGUUCAACUGAUUUGAAGAGCUUGCUCAGAUAUGACGAUGAACAUUGCAAAGAGUGGCGAACGGGUGAGUAACACGUGGGAAACCUACCUCUUAGCAGGGGAUAACAUUUGGAAACAGAUGCUAAUACCGUAUAACAAUAGCAACCGCAUGGUUGCUACUUAAAAGAUGGUU
rnacentral:rRNA from 1 species